UACGAAGGGGGCUAGCGUUGCUCGGAAUCACUGGGCGUAAAGCGCACGUAGGCGGACUCUUAAGUCGGUGGUGAAAUCCUGGAGCUCAACUCCAGAACUGCCUUCGAUACUGAGAGUCUCGAGUCCGGGAGAGGUGAGUGGAACUCCGAGUGUAGAGGUGAAAUUCGUAGAUAUUCGGAGGAACACCAGUGGCGAAGGCGGCUCACUGGUCCAUUACUGACGCUGAGGUGCGAAAGCGUGGGUAGCGAACAGG
rnacentral:rRNA from 1 species